AGAGAGAAUCCUGAUUCUGUUGUGAAAGAGAGCUGCUAGUGCAAGAAAUGGAGUCCAACUGAUUCUGGUGUAAAGUUUUAUGAUUCUUUUUUUUUAUCUAAAGAAGAAAAGUUGAAUAAUUACUUCCUUGAAUGUCCAUCUCAACAUCGUACUAAAAUGUUUGACCAAAGUCAAAACAGGCUUCACAAUUGCUAUAUUUUGGGAUUGUGCAAUAACUGUGGAAAUGUAUGAAUAAAUAAGAUGAAUAUAUAUAUAUAUGUGCAAUAUUUAUUUUGAGUUAAUCAAUAAAAUGUAUCUGACU
rnacentral:misc_RNA from 1 species